CCCUUAGAUGUUCUGGGCUGCACGCGCGCUACACUGAUGCGAUCAACAAGUUUUUCCUAUGUCGAUAGACACGGGUAAUCUUUUGAACUCGCAUCGUGAUGGGGAUAGAUUAUUGUAAUUAUUAAUCUUCAACGAGGAAUUCCUAGUAGGUGCAAAUCAUCAGUUUGCAUCGAUUACGUCCCUGCCCUUUGUACACACCGCCCGUCGCUGCUACCGAUUGGUUGAUCUGGUGAAUUAUUCGGACUGCCGGCUGAAGGGGUUUCCUCAUCUGCCAGCGGAAAGUCUUGCUAACCCUAUCAACUAGAGGAAGCAGAAGUCGUAACA
rnacentral:rRNA from 1 species